AGUACAUUACACAUGCAAAUUAUACGUUUUAUAUAUAUAAUAUAUAAAAUAUGUAGUGCAAACGUGAGUAAAAAAUAUGAAUAUAAGAACUAUAAAUAAAGUUAAAUACUUUAUAAAUAUAUAUAUAUAUAUUAAUAUAUAAAUAUAUAUAAAAAGAAUAUUAUAUAAAAUAAUAUUUGUUUAUAGUCUAUCAUAUAAUGGUUUAGGUAGUAGGUAUUAUAAAGGUUAUACCUAGCCAACGAUCCAUAAUCAUUAAUUAAAGUUAUAAUGAUCACGUUGAUUUUGAAAUAUAAUCAAUAUCUAUAUGAUACAGCAGUGGGGAAUAUUGGACAAUGGUAUAAAUACUGAUCCAGUAACUUAUAAGAAUGAUA
rnacentral:rRNA from 1 species